AGUAGUUUGAUCAGUGGCUACGAGGACGACGCUGGCGGCGUGCCUAACACAUGCAAGUCGAGCGGAGACAUGCGACGGAAUUGAAGUUUUCGGAUGGAUAUGAAGAUGCAUGUUUUAGCGGCGGACGGGUGAGUAACGCGUGAACAAUCUGUCCUGCACGAGGGGGAUAACACAGCGAAAGUUGUACUAAUACCGCAUGAGACCACGAUGGGGCAUCCCAUAGGGGUCAAAGGAGUAACAUCUGGUGCAGGGUGAGUUCGCGUCCGAUUAGAUAGUAGGUGAGGUAACGGCCCACCUAGUCGACGAUCGGUAGCCGACCUGAGAGGGUGAUCGGCCACAUUGGGACUGAGACACGGCCCAAACUCC
rnacentral:rRNA from 1 species